UUACGGCCAUAACUUGUUGAAAAACCGGUUCCAGUACGAUCACUGAAGUUAAGCAACUUUGAACCUGAUCAGUACUUAGAUGGGUGACCGCUUGGGAAUACUAAGUGUAGUC